CAAUAAGCGGAGGAAAACAAACCAACAGGGAUUGCCCCAGUAACGGCGAGUGAAGCGGCAAAAGCUCAAAUUUGAAAUCUGGCUCCCAUCGGGGGUCCGAGUUGUAAUUUGCAGAGGAUGCUUCGGGUUGCGACCGCGGCGCAAGUCCCUUGGAACAGGGCGUCGCAGAGGGUGAGAAUCCCGUCUUGAGUCGCUGGUACGCGCCCGUGCGAAGCUCCUUCGACGAGUCGAGUUGUUUGGGAAUGCAGCUCUAAGUGGGUGGUAAAUUUCAUCUAAAGCUAAAUAUUGGCCGGAGACCGAUAGCGCACAAGUAGAGUGAUCGAAAGGUUAAAAGCACCUUGAAAAGGGAGUUAAACAGCACGUGAAAUUGUUGAAAGGGAAGCGCUUGCGACCAGACUCGGGCGCGGGGGUUCAGCGGGCAUGCUUGCCCGUGUACUCCCCCGCGUUCCGGGCCAGCAUCAGUUUCGACGGCCGGUCAAAGGCCCCCGGAAUGUGUCGUCCUCCGGGACGUCUUAUAGCCGGGGGUGCAAUGCGGCCAGUCGGGACUGAGGAACGCGCUUCGGCACGGAUGCUGGCGUAAUGGUCGUAAGCGACCCGUCUUGAAACAC
rnacentral:rRNA from 2 species